AAAAAAACCACUGUGGCGAAAGUAACUUUGCCACUGGUUCCUGGAGGGGCCUGUUUGCCAGCCUCCAACCCUGUGACUUUGGCCCCUGUGAUAAACCUUGGUUAAAAUCACUGUUUGUACCUUUUGGACUUGUAUGUCUACACUUCGAACUCUCGAAGCGGCACUUCGAACAACCGCACGAACCAGAGACCACCCUGGAGCUUGUUAACCCCUAUUAACAACCUGGAACGUUUCUCACCGCAGUGUUCUAAUCGUUCGUCUGGUUGGCCGCAAUUCCUAUGGACAACCACGAGGUGGCAGCCAUCUUGCUCGCAUGAACACAGGCAGCGGUGUUUGAGCAUGAAUGGAACUGAAAUUGGACACACAAUCUCCCGAACACCGCUGGACUUCCAUCAUCGCCUGCGUUCGAUUCUAUACAACUUAGAAGGGUACUGUUCGGUAAAAUCAUUCGUCUGGAUGAAGGCAACAAGCUCCAGGGUAAGACUAUUGACUCUGUUCGGUAGGUUGUUUGUUUUCAAACUAAUGAACUAGACUGACCGCAAGCCCUGAUUCUCUGGAACUAUUUUGGGCAUGGGACGAUGCCUGCAGUCGGUCAAAUAAAUGACUUCCAGGAAAUUCCUGAACUGAUCUGGGUGAUUUUUGGAUCUGUUGGUCACCCAGAUCAAGGCAUGUAACAUUUGUGGGGAUGUCAUGUGUUUUUGGGGUACUUUUGGGGCGUGGACAUGUCUUUUCUGCGUGGACAUAAUUGAGUCAAUUGAGUUAAUACAGUAUCUAUCUCCCAGGCAGAAGGGAGGGAUUGUGUGCGGGAGUGUCAUGCAUUGUAACACUUAUUAUUGGUCUUUGACUUUGUAACGUAGUUCCCCACAAGGUCCAUAGGGGAGUGCCCCUUGCAUGGAGAUCGUCAUAAAAGGCCAAGUGUGGCACCAUUAAAGUCAGUCCACUUUACCUUCACCACAUAGCAUCGUCUCGUGAUUGUAGUGAACAGCUAUAAUCCCUACUAAUGGGAUUGCUCUUUGGAUUACUAUACUGGCUAUG